AGUGAACGCUGGCGGUAGGCCUAACACAUGCAAGUCGAACGGCAGCACAGUAAGAGCUUGCUCUUACGGGUGGCGAGUGGCGGACGGGUGAGGAAUACAUCGGAAUCUACUUUUUCGUGGGGGAUAACGUAGGGAAACUUACGCUAAUACCGCAUACGACCUACGGGUGAAAGCAGGGGAUCUUCGUACCUUGCGCGAUUGAAUGAGCCGAUGUCGGAUUAGCUAGUUGGCGGGGUAAAGGCCCACCAAGGCGACGAUCCGUAGCUGGUCUGAGAGGAUGAUCAGCCACACUGGAACUGAGACACGGUCCAGACUCCUACGAGAGGCAGCAGUGGGGAAUAUUGGACAAUGGGCGCAAGCCUGAUCCAGCCAUACCGCGUGGGUGAAGAAGGCCUUCGGGUUGUAAAGCCCUUUUGUUGGGAAAGAAAAGCAGCAGGUUAAUACCCCGCUGUCCUGACGGUACCCAAAGAAUAAGCACCGGCUAACUUCGUG
rnacentral:rRNA from 1 species